UUUUUUUCUUCCUUUACUUCAGA
rnacentral:sRNA from 1 species